AUUGAACGCUAGCGGCAGGCCUAACACAUGCAAGUCGAACGAGUGGCGGACGGGUGAGUAAUGUCUGGGAAACUGCCUGAUGGAGGGGGAUAACUACUGGAAACGGUAGCUAAUACCGCAUACCAUCGGAUGAACCCAAAUGGGAUUAGCUUGUUGGUGGGGUAACGGCUCACCAAGGCGACGAUCCCUAGCUGGUCUGAGAGGAUGAUCAGCCACACUGGAACUGAGACACGGUCCAGACUCCUACGGGAGGCAGCAGUGGGGAAUAUUGCACAAUGGGCGCAAGCCUGAUGCAGCCAUGCCGCGUGUAUGAAGAAGGCCUUCGGGUUGUAAAGUACUUUCAGCGGGGAGGCGUUACCCGCAGAAGAAGCACCGGCUAACUCCGUGCCAGCCGCCGCGGUAAUUC
rnacentral:rRNA from 1 species